rnacentral:lncRNA from 1 species
GCAGAAGACACACUGAUUCUCAGAAUCUGUUUCUUUAUCUGCAAAAUGCGGCUCACAGUACUCACCCCAUCCAGUUAUUGUGAGAAUUAAAUGAGAUAGCCUGCCAAAGCACUCAGGACCCAGCAGGAACGAUCAUCUUUGGCUGCUGUCACCAAUCUUUUUUGAGCUAAGCUCGGCUCACCGAUGGAGUGGGCCGUGAGCCCAGGAGAACUGGUUACUGCGGUUACCUUGUGAUGACCCUGAGCCAGGAAUGAGGGAGCAGGUGAGGUCAGCGCCAAACUCCUCAAUGUCUUCCAAGAGACAGAAUGUACUAAUGGACGCUAUUCUCCUGCUGCGUGUCUGUCCUCAAGAGAUUUCUAAGAAGCAGUGGCAAGGCCUCAGGAGCUAGGUCCCUGGCAGAGAGCAAGUUUCUGGUGACCACGGCACUCAAUAUCGAGAAAACAAAACCCCUGAUAAGGUGCGGAGAAACUGUCAGGUUCUGCACAUGGCUGGAACCCUUGGUGACUCCCUGGGAACCCCCUCCCCCCACCACCUGCUUUCCUCUGAUGGACUUCAGCUCGCGCUAAGCUAAGGACAGCAGGGGACACUUGGUGCGCUUCCCUGGCCCCUCCCUCCUGGAUUUCAGGACGUCCAGCUAAGCGCGGGGCUAUCUUUAAAAGGAAUUAGUCGUGGCUCCUAUAUAGCCCGCUGGUGAGGGCAACGUGGGACGGCCCAGGCCAGGAAUUCCCCGAGCGCCCCCAACGCCUGCCCUCCGCUGGAGAGCCCGCAGCGCCUCUCCCGGGGCAGCACCCCGGGCCCGCAGAACCCCUCCGAGGAGAAACAACCAGCUCUGCAGAUGCAGCCCUUGCAGUUUGGGUCUCUUCUCUCCUCUGACGUAAUGUCAGUUUCCUGCUUUCGCACUGCAGUGUGCAGCUCGCUGGCCGAGCUGCUCAUCUUAAGGAAGAAAGAGAUACAGUCAGAGGUUAGCCACUGGUACAGCUUUGAAUCACUAGGAGGUAAGAGGAUAACUGGUAAACCACAAAUGAAGAGAUAAGGGAGGCAUGCAUCUUGUGCUGUAAGUGCUAAUAUGGGCCUUUGGCUGCAUUCCUCACAGUAAGCACUUUACCACUGUUUAUAGAAACAUACAGAUAAUGAUCACGAAUUAGCCUGUGGUUCUCGAUUCUCUCUCAGUUGCAGAGUCAGAGAUGGAAAUAGAGUCCGUUAUUAUGCUGAGAAAUGUAUUUAGAAAAACGUACUGGGCGGUGGGGUGGUGGGCGGUGCUAGAGAGAGACUCUGUCCCUG